AAGAAUUUUUUAAAAAUGUUCUUGUUUGUGACUCUUUGUAACAUAAUAUGGAAUGGAGGGAAUACAUUAGCUGUACCUGUCACAUAGUCAUAUGAGACUCGCAUCUCGAGUUUCUAUUGUAUUACUCAUGAAAAUAUCAGCUCUAAUUCAAGAAUUUAAGAGUAUUCAUCCCAAUUAACCCAAAGCUAAUCCAUACCUAUUAAAAAGAGAGAACUUGUUUUACUGUAGCUUAACAAUAGUGCAUGGACUGUAUUACCCCUCCAAAUCCUUACAAUUACAUCCUUGCCCACACGUUUUCUUUCUUCCUGUUUUUCCUCCAAGCCCUUCAACUGGCUUUACCAGGAUCUCUCUCUCUUUUUUUUUUUUUUUUUGCAUUACCUGAUUCUUCUUUCUUUCAUUCACCGAUUAAUUACUCCCAAAAAACACCAAAAAUCACAAAAGCCAGAUCAAAAGAGAGAAAAUGGUAGAUUGGGGACCUGUGAUUUCCUAUCAUUCACCGAUUGUUCGUGUUGCUGUCACCGAGAUUACUAGUACAAGUACCGGGAUACAAUUGAUCUAUUGAGUUUGGAGGCUAUGUUGCAAUUGAGGGAAGAUGAGACAGAGCUUACAUAUUCAGAU